ensembl:lncRNA
GUUCUGCAUUUCAGAACAAUUACAUCUGUGUUUGCCAGGAUUUCAUUAGCCAAAAGCUGUAGUACAUACUGAAUAAUGUGCACAGAGUGAAAUAGUAAAUCACUGCAUACACAAUGAUAGGGCUGUUGUGUGAGUCAGUACAUGGCAACACAUGUCAGUCCUUGUCAGCGAACAGCGUGCCUUGGUUCUGUGGACUGUCCGAUUUCAGCUACCUCACCUUUUUCUCAAACACCUUCUUUCUGGAGUGGUGUUUGCCCUGAGUUGUGUGGAAGUAACAUCCAAGUUCCUCUGUGCCCAUGUUCUCAUUGCAAGAUAUUCUACUGGGUUCUUGACUCCUGCAUCUUUGGAAAGGUAUUGUCUUUCCAAUCAUGGUGUCUCUUGUUAGUGAUUGCUGCUGGAACAGCUGCACUCCAACCUCUGCAAUGAAGAUUUUAUUUUUUGUCCGUGCUCCUGACUUGUCUGCCUGUAAUUAAAAUUGAGCAAGCAGAACAUCAGUGAGUAUGGGAACUGCUGAAUCACGGCCUGAACCUCUGAUUGACCACCUGAGAUGAGCACCGAAUCAGCCGUGGGAGCACAGGUGAAGGCAAUUCAGCUGUGUGACCGGAAGGGGUGGAGCCAGGCUGCACCUCUCCUACACCCCGUUUAAGGGCUGACUGCCACUGAGGAAGGGUCUCUCUCUGGAGAUUGCUCUUCAUGGAGUUUUUGUGAGCCUCCAACAUUGCUAUGGGUUCUGAUCUGAAGAGUAUGGCCCCAGCAGCAGGAAUUUGCAAGACCAGUCAUCAUGGUCUGAUGUUUUCAUCAUUGUCAGAAGUGAGAUUUCUCUUUCAUUCUGCUAGUUCAGAACUAUGAGUAAAUUCUACUACUGCUAUUUUCCUCUGCGAUGGAGAUAAGUUGGAGCAGCAUAUUCAGGGCUUGCAGAUGUCUCCUUUGGGUUGCAAGACAACUUUGAGGAAGUGGAGUGUGAGAAAGGUGAAGACCUAAAGAGAAGGAACUGAAGCCAAGAACAGUAAAAGUACACCACUGUGGAUUCCUACAGGGAUAAGACCUGUAUUGUUGCAGCAUUAAAAUUCUGUGAAUCUGCUGAGAUCUGAGGUGGACUACGUGCUCCUAAGACUCACAGUCCAUGACAGGCUUCAUCUCAUCAAAAUGAAUGGUGUCUCUUUAUGGCCUGGCAUGUACCGGCAGAAGGUUCUAAGUUACACCAAUGGGACAUUUAAACCUGCCCUAAAAUGCGUUUCAGGUAGGAACAGAAUGACUGUGGAGCAGCCUGCAAUGCCCAUUUGUCGAUUUCCUUGCACUGCACAUGAUCAAUCUGCAUUGCCAUGGGUAAUUUUUGCUGCAAAAGGUGCCUUGUACCAGCUUGUUGAAGCACCAUGGGAAGACACACAGACCACUUGUUUACUCUCUCCAUUUCUAGGAGGUUGGAAGAACCAAACCAUGCUAGAAACAGAACCGCUGCAAGCCAGGCAGCUGAACAGUCAGAGCUUAUGGGGGAAUCCUAGGAGGACUAUUGGAUUGAGAUUUGAGGGCUCAUCAGAGCAGAACAUUGGAUGCAGAGUUCAAAGUGCCCUUGUGUGGGUCCAUUCAGAAGCCACUCAGCAGACCACAGGCGCAUACCUUGUGAGUACUUGGUCUCCUGGAGGUCACACUGCCCCUGGAUGUUUGCUACUAGCUGCUGUGCAGCAGCACUGCCAGAUGUGGGGGACACAAUCUGUUCCUGGCCUUUUGCUGCAGACAGAUGCAAAACCAGGACUGCUCCUACUUUGGCUCUGACUCCUGGUCAUCACAUGUGUGACCUCAAAGCUAAUGCACACCAUUGUGUACCUGCAGACUUACUGGAGCAAAGCCUCCAAAUGGCAAAUGGAAAAGCCAUCUGGACUUGUCCACGGCCCUGUUAACUCUCAUGGUGCUGCCUUGGCUGUAGUCAACCACCUCUAGCAGGAGGAAAUGUGAUCCUUAACAAAACCAGAGAAGCUUAUCAAGUCACUGAGCAAACCUACAGCAUCCCUUGUACAGGCAGAGAUUCUUCUGAAGCCCCAUCAGAAUUUCUGGUCCAGUCAUCUGCCUCAUUCUCUCUGUUCAACAUCUGUGGUGCUUUUGUUCAGCAGGAAAAAGCAAAGAUGUUUAAAAGAAAACAAAAAACAGAGCACAAUGCAAACAAACCAAAUUAAAGAAAACGUUUUAAAGCAUUUCCUUGCUCACAAGAUGUGAGAUGGUCAUGUGUUUAAAACUGCAAUAUUAUUUCUGGCAACCGGUCUUGUGAUAUCCUUUUGUUGAUUUUUCCAACCUCUCAAGAAACUGGAAUGAAAAUAUUUUACUGAUGUUACCAUCCCUGGGAACGGUUUGUCAAUGCUGACCCAGGUUAAUGCUGCAAACUCAAAAUAUUUGGCAUGUGCUUUUGUAUUUUUCCUUCAUCAAAGAGAUUAUAGGGGGUGAAGGUCUGUUCACAUGAAAGCAGUGAGAGAUACCGGCAGUGUACUUAGCAAAACAAGAGGGGCCCUUUUAUAAAUGUGUGUGCAUAUAUGCAAAUAUGCUUUUGCAGAUGAUAAUAUAAUCAUGAAAAAGUCAUUACUGUCGCAUUAAGGUAGCUGGCUAACGGGAAAGCUGUGUGGAUGUUGUGGGGAUGGAUAUACUGUAGAAACAAGGACAUAUCCAUCACAGUUCUGUGGCAGUUCUGUGACCGGGGGAAUCAAUGGAGCCUGAUUUUCUAUGGCUUUGUGCCCUGAUGUUAUGACCCUAUCGAGAUUUUUCCAAUGUCUCAUAUGAGAUGCUGCACUUUUUACCUCAGAGAGGCACUAAGCACGGCUCUUAGCUCAUUAGCUGACUGCCUACUUUCAGAAUACUUUUAAGGAUGUAAGAGGGUUGGGUUUUUUUUGGAUUUUUAUACCUUUGCCAAAUGUGCUUGCUAUAGGCCUAAACAUUUGAAGAUUCAUAGAGAGGUCUCAGAUGUACAAAGAGACGGCAUGGAGUCCUAAAGCCAAUUUCUGUGAAAUCAAUUUAAGUGUCCUCGCACUUUAGCUAUGGAAAAGAAAAACAAAUGUGAAUUAAAACAGAAAACAUGAUUUUAAACGUAAAUACGGAAUGUGAUGGCUAAGGAAGAAAAGAUAAACAUGCAGAUUAAAAAUCAGUCACUCAGGGGAGGCCUUCCGCUAACUUGCAAUGAGAAUUUCGCACCUAAUUGCAAUCUGUGUCUUUCAAAAUCACACAACCUCUGCUGUAAAAGUACAUGAAACUUCUCACAGACGACAUUAUGUUAAAAAACUCCUCCAUUUGCUCUGGUGCCUGGGAAUAAACAAACCUGACUUCUGGUUGCAGCUUGC